rnacentral:lncRNA from 1 species
CAAAACCAAAUCAGCAUCUUUCUUCUUCUCAUUAAUGUCAUGAUGAGCAAUGACGUCAACUUGACCCUUGUUCAUCGUGAAACUCUCUUAUUAUGGAUAAAGCGCACGUGUUUUAAUUCACGAACCUUCGUAAACUUGUGUUACGGAAAAAAAAAAAACACAACUUUCAUAUUUUUCUAAUUUCCCACUACUACUAAAAAAAAAUAUUACAAAAUUGAAAACAUGUAAAAGUUUAUUGUUACUUUUCUAGGUUCAUGAACC